UUUUCACUUCGACACCACAAGCUAGAGUGUUAAUGAAAAAAAACCCAGCUAUUAGUUUAGGGUGUGUUAGGUUUUUGCAUUGCAUUUGUUUCUAGCAAUGAGGAGGAAUGUAUCUAUUUUGGUCAUGCUUCUGUAUGCUUUUGGCAAGUAAAAUGUGCACCCAACUGUAAAGCCUAGAAGGAGGCAAACAAAACCUAUGUGAAACAAGCUGCAGGUAUUUUGCUGCUUUGUGUGGAGCUGCAGUCAGUGCUGUACUGGAACAGAAGAAAAGCAUAUAGAAAAUAGUCAUCCACUCCAUCCUGAUGAGUUUUGUUUUAAAAUGUGCCAGGAGCAAAGUUAUGCUGUUGAAGAUGAACCCUGCAGUUUGAGCUGUGCUCAGGAACUGUGUUUUGUCAUACCAUGCUGGGGCAUCUGUCUGGCACAGCAAGAAACAGAAAGGAUGGAGGAGCAGUGUGAGAUUGCACUGGAGGAUGCAGUGUGCCUCACCUCGGGGUGACUCUUGCAGACCAACCCCUCAACUUCUCCUGCGUGCCACCACUAUGCAACUGCAAAACCACUGGAUUGGCCAUAAGAAGCUGCUUGUACUUCAGCUCCUGCAGCAGAGAAGACGCUCUGGUGUCAUGCUGUGUAACUGAAGGGAAGGCUGAGGCAGAAGCCACCUCUGGAGAUCUCGGGAUGGAGUAUUGCAAGUGUUUUCUUCAGCAGCAAAGCCGUUUGAAUAACUGUCAACUUCGGCACAACUGACAGCUUUGCAAAUAGCAACGAGUUGCUGGGAGUCAGAAACUAUGGGGUUUACUCCUGAUCAAAACCAUGGAUUGCCUACACAACAAGUAGGCACAGAAGGCUCAGGAGGGCAGCGGGUCCAGGAGGGAACAUCGUUCCAGGAGCAGCAAUUUGGUGCCAAGGCAAACAGUGUUAGGCCCUUUGGCUGUGGCUGAAAUGCAAUUUCUGACAAUCAUUUUAAGGAAGAGGAUUUAGGAGAGUCUUAACCCAGCAGCCUGGUCAACAUUUAAAACUCUUGCAGGUCAGCAGCUUUUACGAACCUUGGAAAAACUAUUGUGUGAUCAGUCAUCGCACUGAAGCAGCGGCACCGAUUUGGCAAAGGGUGAAAGGUGCUAAUGUUGGUGCCCUGGACAAAGCAGGUGUGCACAGCUGGAACUGGAAGAAAGGGAGAUUGAGUUUUUUGGCUUCACCAUGACUGCAUCGCCAAACUGAAACCAGGAGAGCCAUGGACCCACCUGCAUUACCCUUCAUUCCUUGCCUUGCUUUUCUUCCUUCUGCUCCGGUGAGUGCCUACCAUCCUAUAACUCCCCAGGAGGCUGAGCUGUGGCAGCCCGGGGUACCUGAGUCUCUAAUAGUGGCAAAUCCUAUUCUCUUCACUGCCAGAAGCAAUGACUGCCCAGACCGUGAGUUUGCUUCUGGCAGACAAGUUCCCAGAAGCAUGUACACCCUUCCCUGUAAAUAAACUUAUGGAAAUGUGUUAAAAAUAUGCAAAGCGCUCUGACUGAAAAAUAAAGGAGAAGAAAAAGAACAUUCAAGAUAAAACCAAAGUUUCUUGCUAAACUGGAAAUGAAACAACUGCUUGUGUGAAAAUAACCACUCAUUGCAUUUGUGGGAGUAUAAAAAUCUGUCUGAAAAUAUUAGUUGAAGACUUGUCUGUGAGCAAAGAGUGAAAGUGUGAUCACCCACUGUCAAUUAAUUUCAGGGGGAUGACUGCAAGAUUCAUCUUAAUAAGUUUCAGUGAUUUCUAUAUCGAAACAUCAACAGAAGAGCAUAGAUUUUAAUUCCUUGCAGCUGUCUUAUUGGUCCUGAUAGGAGAGUUGUUCCUUUUCAAGCAUAAAAACAUGUUACUCUAAUGUUGUACCUUUGGCUGGAAAGUUAAGGUGUCUUGUCACAUUUUUCUCAUAAUCACGACAAAUGUGGGAUAUACAGAUAAUCAACAAAGAACUCUCUUUUGAGGCACCCAGAAUUUACCCAGAAGCAAUAUCAUAUGCAGCAUUCUUGUGUCCUCAUUUUGGCUGGAAUAGGGUUAAUUUGCCUCCUAGUAGCUGCUGCAUUUUGGAUUUGGUGUGAGAAUACUGUUGAUAGCACAUAUUGCUUUUGUUGUUGCACAGUAAUGUUUAUGCUCAGCUGGGAUAGAACUAGUUUUCUUCCCAGCCACUUCUUUUUUUUUAAGAUUUAGUAUGGGAAGAAUGUGAUAAAAUAUACUGAUUUUUUUUUAGCUGUUGCUAAUAAAUCAAGGAUGUUUUUUCAGAUUCCCAUAUUUUGCUAGUGGACAGGUACAGAGCCAGGAGAGCUGACCCAAACUGGCCAAAGGAAUAUUACACACUGUAACAUCAUAUUCACUAUAAAAAUGGGAAUUUGGCCAGGGAACAGCUAGGUGAUCCGGGUUCCAUGUUCAGUGUUCUGCUUUCUACUCUUGCCGCGCUCACUGUGAUCUGUGUGCUCACUGCCAUCACUGCACUCACUGAAGUCGCUGCUCAGGAUGGGCUAAUUAUUGGGCGGUAAGUAAUUGUAUUUGAAUACGUUUCUUUUUUAUUGUUGUUGUUGUUAGUUCUUCUAUUGUUCUAUUAACACUGUCUUUAUCUCAACCACAAGCUUUUCUUUUCCGAUUCUCCUCCCUGUCCCACUGGGGAGUGUGGUGUGGGAGAGUGGCUGUGCACUGUUUAGCUGAUAGCUAAGGGCUAAACUAUGACAUCUCCAUCGACUGAAUUUCCAGUCCGGAUCCUCUUCCUUUGAUCAUCAUCAGGAUUACACAACUACUUUUUUAUUGAACCCAAGGAAAAACUCUGUCUAUGGCUCUGUAUUCUCUUGUUCUGUAUAACUAAGCCUACAGUUCUUCAGGUCCCUGGUUUGCAGCAUUUUUAGGUGGUUUCUUAGCUGCCACAUUUCCACUUGGAUCUCCAAGCCUGUCUUCCUCCUAACCUACCAGCCUGUUGCUGGCCAGGGAUGGGCAGCAAACACCAGUCCUGCAUCUCUGCCCCAGGCACCCCGUCGUCUCCCUCCCAGGAUGCUGGAGCAGCUGCUUACAUCUCUUCUUAUGCAGGCUCGACUCUGUGGUGUUGAGGGCCCAGCUGGAAGGUCAUGGGAGGUUCUUUUUUUUCCCCUGCUAGCACCAUCUUUGAUGUUUGCCUCACAGGGAACAAGUUAGGUCACUGACCCAGCCAAAAAUGUACCUUGUUGUGGCAGGGAGCUGUUAGGCUGGACAAGCCAUUGCGGUGAUGUGUAUCCCAGGAGGUGCUUGGCCAUCUGGACACAGAGACACUGCGGGUACCUUGUGUCAUUCCUUCCCAGGGAGAUGUGCUCUUACCAGCUGAGAUGGGCUGCUCUUUGCCAUGGGCAAAUGACUCAUGAUGAAAGCUUGCCUCAGCUGUUUAUUCUUAUUUUUAGUGUUUUAAGGGCAUCUUUCAUUAUUCCACAGCCUAGAAGGUUACACCUCUUCUGUCACCUUCCUCCCCUCUUGUGGAAUACACAUUUUAACUCUAAUCGUUCCAGGCAUCUGAUUUAUGAGUAGACCAUAGGCAACAGUUGCUGCACUAUUGGGCGUGGAGGGCUCUGACUCCAGCAGGCGUGAGGAGAAGAGGGUGGAUGUAACCGUGUGGAUCCCAGCCUUCACCUUCAAACCAGACCUUCACCUGCUACUGCCAUCAGCUGAGUCACUGCUGGCAACUGUGUAUAUGCUUGUAGCUCAACCACAGGCAAAUAAAAUGUUGAGAGCUUAAAUCCCUGGGAAGAUUGACUUUUACUUGUCAUUUGACCUGGUCAAAGAGUGCACAUGUACCUGUGCUUUUAGCCAUGAUGCCUUGAUCUCCUGCAGUUGUGUCCCCACAUCGUGUACCACAUGCAAGGAGAUGCUGACUGGACUCCAAAGGCUGCAAAAUGAUUAUACUUGCUAUUGCUGCACAAAGGGUAACGACGUGAAGGGAAAUGGAAACAUUAAAGCUGAGAAAAGGAGAACUCAUGAGAAUGUCAGCAACGGCCUGAAGAAAAAGGGAGAGAAAGAUGUAAUUUCCAAAACAAUAACCGGAGAUCAAAGGAGGCUGAUGUUUUUUCAGAGUGCUGUUUGUGACGGAUCUGCAGGAGAAGGUUAAAGAAGAAAAUUAUUUUGAAAAUUGUCAUGAAAAAUACAGACUUCUGCAGAGAGGCAGUAGACCCUGUAGCUAUUUUCUUGGCUUUCCUUUUGCCAUUGCCCUCUGCAUUUCUGUGUUGGCUAUGCUGAGUUUUUCUGAAAGAAGUGCCACUAUUCACUUCACUUUACAAUGUCUUUAAAUUGAACAGAGAUUAAACAGUUUUAUCCUCUGAUAUAAUCAAAUGCUGUGGAAACUCUUGCUUACUCAUUUGUUGAGCUGCUUUGUUUUCUCCUCUAUUGCUAGAUCUAACUUAUGCUUUAAAGGAUUGGACUGCACAGAUUUCCUUUCUAGUUCUAUUCUUCAUCAUAACCUGAUUGAUUUUAUUGAUUUUGUCCAAUAUCUGUCAAAACUAAUAAAUAAUAAGGAAUAUUAAAAUGUUUCAUGCUGACACUUUCGUAGGAGCAUUU